rnacentral:rRNA from 1 species
UACGAAGGGGGCUAGCGUUGCUCGGAAUCACUGGGCGUAAAGGGCGCGUAGGCGGCGCGGUAAGUCACUUGUGAAAUCUCUGAGCUUAACUCAGAACGGCCAAGUGAUACUGCAGUGCUAGAGUGCAGAAGGGGCAAUCGGAAUUCUUGGUGUAGCGGUGAAAUGCGUAGAUAUCAAGAGGAACACCUGAGGUGAAGACGGGUUGCUAGGCUGACACUGACGCUGAGGCGCGAAAGCCAGGGGAGCAAACGGG